rnacentral:rRNA from 1 species
AUGAUACCGACAGCACAUAAAAGGAGAUUACCAGUGAUUGCUUUGAAGUUGGACUUUCGCAAAGCUUUUGAUUUUGUUAGUUGGGAUUGCCUCACUCGGGUUUUAGAAGCCAGAGGCUUCCCCUCGCGAUGGACACAGUGGAUCCAUGCACUCCUCUCCACUGGGCGCUCCAGGGUGUUGAUCAAUGGAGAACCAGGGGAUCCCAUCUUGGCAAAGAGAGGGUUUCGGCAGGGAGACUCAUUGUCGCCAUAUCUCUUCAUCCUUGUUGCCGACGUGCUCCAACGUUUAUGUUGCUGGCAUUUUUAG